rnacentral:rRNA from 1 species
UACGUAGGGUGCAAGCGUUGUCCGGAAUUAUUGGGCGUAAAGAGCUCGUAGGCGGUUUGUCGCGUCUGCCGUGAAAGUCCGGGGCUCAACUCCGGAUCUGCGGUGGGUACGGGCAGACUAGAGUGAUGUAGGGGAGACUGGAAUUCCUGGUGUAGCGGUGGAAAUGCGCAGAUAUUAGGAGGAACACCGAUGGCGAAGGC